AGGCUCAUCCAUUCUUUAGACACAUUAACUGGGAAGAACUUCUGGCUGGAAAGGUGGAGCCCCCCCUUUAAACCUCUGUUGCAAUCUGAAGAGGAUGUAAGUCAGUUUGAUUCCGAGUCUACACAUCAGACACCUGUCGACAGCCCAGAUGACUCAACUCUCAGUGAAAGUGCCAAUCAGGUCUUUCCGGUUCAUUGCUCACAAGCUCAGCCUUCCAGAAAACACUAGGAGCACAAUGCAGCCAAGUUCUUUGUCACUUUAUGACAAGCAUCACCUUUCCUCCAGUUUCCAAUAACAUGUUCUUCAUUGCCAUCUGAGACUUCAUCUGAAUGAUUUUUCCCUUCCAUAUUUUUAUUUUUUUAAGAGACUAAGUCUCCCUAUGUUGGCCAGGUUGGUUGUGAAGUCUCAUCUUCAACCGAUCCUCCUGUCUUGGCCUCCCAAAGUGCUAAGAUUCCAGGCAUGAGACACCAGGCUCGACCCCCUCCAUAUGCUACCGACAUUCUGUCCGGCUCUCCUCUUCUGAAACCUCACCAGAGUCACCCUUAACCAAGAGUCACAGGGAGAAGACGGCCACCCACACAGCAAGAGACAGGCCUGGAACAGAGCCUUCCUGCACCGCCUCAGAGGGACCCACCCUGCUGACACCUUGAUGGUGGACUCAUGGCCUCCAGGAUUGGGAGACAGUAACAUUCUGUUGUUGAGGGUGCCCAGUCUGUGGUCCUGUAAAACAGCCCUAGGAAACUAACACAGCCUGUUAGCCCACAGAUAGUGGAGAGAUGGAAUGAAAUAAUAAUAGAAAUAUAUGUGAAAUAAUAAUAGAAAUAAAGCACACAAUAACUGUAAUGGGUUUGAAUCAUCUCCGCAUCAUCGCUUCCCCUUCUCCCGGGUCCAUGGAGGAGUUGUCUUCAAGAAACCUGGUCUCUGGUGCCAAAAAGUUUGGGGACCGCUGGUGUAAAUGUUUCUAAAAAUAGUUAAGCAACAUAAGGUUUACCUGCUACAAAUAAUGCAGAUUUAAAUGCUAAUAAAAAUGGGUGCAAAUGAAAACACUCUUUCUAUGGUCCAGGGAAUCUUAACCAUUCUCUGAGAAAGACUCGCAGCUUGGAACUGCAGCUGCCUUCCCACAUCCUGUCCACUGUAAAGCCCUGCAACACACACACAUGCACGCACACGCACACGCACA